rnacentral:tRNA from 1 species
GAGGGUAUAGCUCAGUGGUAGAGUGCAUGCCUAGCAUGCACAAGGUCCUGGGUUCAAUCCCCAGUAUCUCCA